GACGAACGCUGGCGGCGUGCCUAAUACAUGCAAGUAGAACGCACAGUUUAUACCGUAGCUUGCUACACCAUAAACUGUGAGUUGCGAACGGGUGAGUAACGCGUAGGUAACCUGCCUGGUAGCGGGGGAUAACUAUUGGAAACGAUAGCUAAUACCGCAUAAUAUUGAUUAUUGCAUGAUAAUUGAUUGAAAGAUGCUAUUGCAUCACUACCAGAUGGACCUGCGUUGUAUUAGCUAGUAGGUGAGGUAACGGCUCACCUAGGCGACGAUACAUAGCCGACCUGAGAGGGUGAUCGGCCACACUGGGACUGAGACACGGCCCAGACGCCUACGGGAGGCAGCAGUAGGGAAUCUUCGGCAAUGGACGAAAGUCUGACCGAGCAACGCCGCGUGAGUGAAGAAGGGUUUCGGAUCGUAAAGCUCGGUUGUAAGAGAAGAACGGGUGUGAGAGUGGAAAGUUCACACUGUGACGGUAUCUUACCAGAAAGGGACGGCUAACUACGUG
rnacentral:rRNA from 1 species